CGGACGAAAAGAAGAAGGCACAUAAUCACAUUUGGCUUGUGUCCAAGUUGUAGUUUCAUGCACUUGUCCGACAAACCCUUGACAUAAGCUCAUUGGAACUGGGCGCCACAGCGGGUUAGAGUCCCACGUGUGGCCUGUUGGGAUUUGUGAAAGGGGUGCUUUGAUUGAGUUGCACUUCUUUGGAAUGGGGUGUGAAUCUGGUGGUACGUGUCACCCAAUGCAAAGCGAUGCUGGGACUGAUAGUGAACAAGUACCAUGAGGGAAUGGUGAAAAGAACUUUGGAAAGAGAGGCAAGCAGUGCAUGUGAUUUCAGUGGGCAAAGGGAGUUUGAUUGAUGACUUGUUUUCUGACUGCACUGCCUGCAUGCGUGUUGUGCAGUUAGAACUGCAUUGUGCGUCAAGCAGUGUGCUUCUGAUUUUGCGUGUCCAAAUUGUGCUCGUUAGGAACACUUCCUUGGUGAGGUCAUGUUCUUGUGCUUGGCUUCAUUGACUGUCAGUACCCAACGUACGCAAGUGUCGUGUUGUGAGAACAUGAGGCUCCAGGACCUGUCAUUGAAACCUCGCCCGUCUUGAAACACGGAUCAAGGAGUCUGGUGUGUGUGCAAGUCAUAGUGUUGUAGACCUCAGGGCGGAGAGAGGUUGUUUGCUGGCACAUGCUGCCCCAGCGCCCAACAACAAAGAUGGAACCUUGAGUUUGAGCGCAUGCAUCUGGACCCGAAAGUGGUGAACUAUGCUUGUGAGAAGUAAAGUCAGAGGAAACUCUGAUGGAAGCAUGCAGUGGUACUGACGUGCAAAUCGUUCACCUGACUUGGGUGUAGGGGGCGAAAGACUAAUCGACCACCUGGUAGCUGGGUCCCCUCCGAAAGUUUCCCCUC
rnacentral:rRNA from 1 species